rnacentral:lncRNA from 1 species
CAGUGACAUUUGUGCCAACAGAGCCAUCGGUGUGCUUGAUCGGAUCAUGCUAGGUGGCUCGAUUCUGCCAUCUACCGAAGUACUCCUCACUGCUCUAUUGAUCACAGAGGGCAUCUCAAACAUCCCCCCACAUCCAGUGAUCCAUGAAAAAUUUUCAAUCCGAUGGUGACUCAAAACUGAAGAACUCAAUCGUGGACUGCCUGAGGUGGUAUAGCCCACCAUGAAGCCGACGGG